AAAAACACGCUCAAUAUCACCUUGUUUCGUUAAAUCACCCGUAUACAUGGUGAAUUGACCAUGAAGCUCGUGUAGCAACUUUUCAUUUUCAAAGAGAUCAAAUGCAGCAAUUCGAAGAUUUUCACGUUCGCACAGCUGCCGUAUGAUAUGACCUCCUAAAAAUCCACUUCCAAUAACUAACACGGAAUUCAUCGGCAUUAAAAAAAUACAAGAAUAAACGAUUGUCUGGUUCUUGCCAGGUAUUCGACGUUACACCAUAUCGAGAAAUGAGUGAGCUUAUUUGCUACCUGUGUUUUUGGGGUGUAGGCUAGAUGCAAUACACUAACCAUGAUUAGCGAGAAAGAGAGCAGCUGUUGAAUAUGGAACAUGGGUUAGAGGAUAGUAGCCGAUUGAAACUCUAUUAGUACAAUAUGUAGUACGCACUUAGAAAACAGAAAAAUUAAGUGAGUAACAUCUCGAGUACCAUUACAAGAAAACGAUGACCUCCCGACCUCGUACCGUUCACAUCUAAAACUGGCCUAUUGUAAAGC